GCCUUCUGAAGGCGCAGCGACCUGACUUCUCUCAUGUGCGUUUGCCGUGUGAGCCAGGCGAACUUGGAACGCCAUAUUUUGUUUUAGCUCAUUUGGAUCAUCACCGCCCAAAAAGAAAAGAGAGAAGAACUGAAGAUCAGAGAACCAGACGCUUGAGCAGGUCGUGGGCUACUUCACAUUGGGAGAGAGUGAGACACCGGGCAGUGGGAGCGACAGCAACACCCAAGCCAACCCUUUAGGAAUGAACUCACAGAUGCCUCUCCACUCCAGUUUAGUGUUCAAGUCUGCCAGUGUCAAGCUGGCCCUUGCUCCAUUCUGCCAUCUACUGGAAAAGAGCGAACAAAACAACCAAAAUUACAGUAAAAAUCCAAGAGAGUCAAGGGUUCAACCCUUUCUCAAGGACUUCAACUAUAAACAACAGCAGCCUGCCUCAGCAGAGGUUCCUGCCUCCAUCAGGUCAAGCAGCAAUUACCAUCAGCUACGAGCGUGUCAACACCCACAACCACCUCUUCAUUAAUCUGACCCAGUGACUUUGACCAGAGUAAGGGGCUAUAAGGAUGAUGAGGCAACCAGGGCCGCUUGAUUGGAUAUAAAUGCCUGUGAGGAAUUGUUCUUGCAUUGUUUUUGAGGGCUGUUUGGUGUGUUAGGACCCCUGGCGAAGGACUGUAGUGGUGUAAAGUUUGUAGGGGAUUAGAAAAGUAAAAGUGUUUUAGUAGUGUUUUGCUCCAUUUGGUGCCCUGUAAGAUUGCUGAUUUCACACAUCAUUUAAGGGCUUUUGGAAGUAGUCGUUAGCAACCCGAAGAGUGUAGCGCAAAAGAAUUCACCCUGCUGAAUGUGAGUUCAACUUCUGGGAAUUAGAUAUGGCCAGAUGCGUGCUCAUUAUCACCCCUCGGGGUCUGGGUCCUGUCAGAGUGCACGUUCAGUCAUAAAUAGAGCAUUUGUGCUGUUAAGCCUAGAAACAAUGGAGACAGAGACUAUAUGUGAAGGGACGGUGCAACUCUCUUACUUGUGCAACAUAGAAAGCAAUUCACCUUCAAGAGUUUUCCCUCUCUAAAUAAUCUACAACAGAAGUAGCCUCCAGGCUCGAGCCUCAGGUUAUUUGAAAACGAUCCCUCUUCAUUGAUUGAUAGAUUUUUUUGGUUGAAUUAUGUGUUUAUCCAUUGAGGUUCUUUUAGAAGCUGACUAGGAACUUCACUGAACUUGUUUGCGCUGAGUACAUUUUAUUGUGCUAUGUGCAGGGUACUACUAAAUGAAAAAACACAGAGAAAAUAAAGUAUAUU
ensembl:lncRNA